rnacentral:misc_RNA from 1 species
AGACGGAACACUGGAAAUACUUCGAUCGGUACCUAUAUAUAUCUUGCAGUUCUGAGUGGCCAAGUGAAUCCACAGGAAAUGGCUUAUGAUAACUCAUCCACGCUUGAGCCCAAACGUUCCCAUCAAUGGUUCAUGGAUGGCAUCGAGCCUGAAUUGCUUCCCAACAAGAAGCAAGCCAUUGAAGUACCUAAUCACAGUUCAUUCUCUGGACUUUUAAGUUCCAAUAUUGCCCCCUGGAUGAACACUCCAGGUUUCCACUCAGUAUCAGGCCAAUAUGCAGAAAGACAGUUUGACAAUGACAGCGCUAGAUCGCUCAGCUUUGAUGACAACAGUGUUCCAUCCGUUGGCAUAGGCAACAUUAAUAUGUCUAGAAAGGUGAUGGAAGAUCCAUUUGGAAGUGAUUCCUCAUUUGGUUUAUCCAUAUCCCAUACACUGGAGGAUCAUAAAUCAGGUCUUAACUAUAGUGGUAUCAGAAAGGUCAAA